GAUGAACGCUGGCGGCGUGCCUAAUACAUGCAAGUCGAGCGAACAGACGAGGAGCUUGCUCCUCUGACGUUAGCGGCGGACGGGUGAGUAACACGUGGAUAACCUACCUAUAAGACUGGGAUAACUUCGGGAAACCGGAGCUAAUACCGGAUAAUAUAUUGAACCGCAUGGUUCAAUAGUGAAAGACGGUUUUGCUGUCACUUAUAGAUGGAUCCGCGCCGCAUUAGCUAGUUGGUAAGGUAACGGCUUACCAAGGCAACGAUGCGUAGCCGACCGGAGAGGGUGGUCGGCCACACUGGAACUGAGACACGGUCCAGACGCCUACGGGAGGCAGCAGUAGGGAAGCUUCCGCAAUGGGCGAAAGCCUGACGGAGCAACGCCGCGUGAGUGAUGAAGGUCUUCGGAUCGUAAAACUCUGUUAUUAGGGAAGAACAAAUGUGUAAGUAACUAUGCACGUCUUGACGGUACCUAAUCAGAAAGCCACGGCUAACUACGUG
rnacentral:rRNA from 1 species